UACGGAGGGUGCAAGCGUUGUCCGGAAUCAUUGGGCGUAAAGAGUUCGUAGGUGGUAUGUUAAGUCUGGUGUUAAAGCCCGAAGCUCAACUUCGGUUCGGCACUGGAUACUGGCAAACUUGAAUGUGGUAGAGGUAAAGGGAAUUCCUGGUGUAGCGGUGAAAUGCGUAGAUAUCAGGAGGAACAUCGGUGGCGUAAGCGCUUUACUGGGCCAUAAUUGACACUGAGGAACGAAAGCCGGGGUAGCCAAUGGGAUUAGAUACCCCAGUAGUCCCGGCCGUAAACGAUGGAUACUAGGUGUUGCGGGUAUCGACCCCUGCAGUGCCGUAGCUAACGCGAUAAGUAUCCCGCCUGGGGAGUACGCACGCAAGUGUGAA
rnacentral:rRNA from 1 species